rnacentral:rRNA from 1 species
UACGUAGGGUGCAAGCGUUGUCCGGAUUUAUUGGGCGUAAAGAGCGUGUAGGCGGCCAGGUAGGUCCGUUGUGAAAACUCGAGGCUCAACCUCGAGACGUCGGCGGAAACCAUCUGGCUAGAGUCCGGAAGAGGAGAGUGGAAUUCCUGGUGUAGCGGUGAAAUGCGCAGAGUAUCAGGAAGAACACCCGUGGCUAAGGCGGCUCUCUAGUACGGUACUGACGCUGAGACGCGAAAGCGUGGGGAGCGAACAGG